GCAACAGCGGAAGAGAAUAGCAGGUAUUACAUGUUGGAGUGGAGGAGCGGAGAGUGAAAGGAAGAGAAAGAGAAGUGAAGAAAAAAAUGCGUCUGUUCGAUCCUUGGUCUGUUUUCUUCAAGCGUGAAUGGAAGCGAAAUUGGCCCUUCCUGGUCGGAUUCGCCGUCACCGGAACUGUGAUCACCAAAUUUUCUCUUGGUCUAACUGAGGAGGACGCCAAAAAGUCAAAAUUUGUCCAGGCACACAAGAGGUGAUUCCGGAAUGGAAGAUUUGCACCGCAUUUGCACAUCGUAUUAGAUGUCUGAGGAGAGCUUUGCUUGUUUAAGUUUUACAAAUUGUAAUAAAUGAAGGCGUUGUUACACUCCAUUUUCCUAUUUCCCUUUCAGUUGUUUACUUAAAUGUGAUUGAGGAAAUCUAUACCAAGCAAUUCUGAAAAACUCAGCAGCCUGUAGUACUACAAUUUAUCCGAAACAUGCUGAGCAUUCAAUUCUGAUUUUUUCACUUAGUUC